GUUUCACACUAAAUAUUUUAUUUAAAAUAUUCUUAUGUGACACUCAGAAGAACUGAAUUAUUCACUUUUGUCUCAUUGUGACUUAUCAGUUUAUCAAGUUUUUCUUACAUUUAAUUUCUAUACUGAGUUCACAUAUACAUGAUCUUUUAUUGUAAAUAUCACGGACAAAAGAGAUCUGGCAUUAAAAUAUAAAUUUAGCUACUUUCUGUAGAUCAAUCAAUGAUUCUGAAUCUCUUUUGCUUAUAAUUUAGUGCAUAUUUAUUCAUUUAUUUAUUAUCACACAAUCUCUGUUUGAAACUGAGUUACAUUUUGAGUUGAAUAUCUCACCUAACUAAAAUGUAAGGAAUAUUUAGGGAUAUAAAAAGUACUGGAAUUAAAGCUGGUAAAUAUCUUAGUAUGUUUCGUUAUAUUUAUAAGGUUUUAUGGGGAUGUGUGUAGCAAUAGUUUGUAUAUCAGCUCAUUUAAUAUGUUGAUUUGGUUGUUUUCUAAUCUAAUCAGCAAUAUACUUUUCACUUGAUCUGAGCUGCAGUCAUAAAAUGUAAGUCUGAAAUUGAGUUAAACUUAGAUGUAUAAACAAAAGAAAAUAUAAGAGUGGAACAUCUAACAGAAAAUGUAAAAAUCUUUAUGUUGUGGUACAAAAACUACAGAAAUUAAAUCAGUCAGUGUCUUUGUAAGUUUGUUUCAUAUCUGAGGUUUGAUUUAAAUGUAUAUAGUGAUUGUGUAGUUUGUAUAUUGUGUAUAUAUCAGCUGCAGUGAUGAUGAAUAACAUGAAUGAUGAGAAUGUUGUGAUUUUUACUGCAUCUCACACGUCUGCUGCUUAAAGUCAAGUUGAAAUGAUGUGAAUGCUGCAGGGCAGAAGAGUGCUGGAGCUGCAUUGUGUUUUCUCUGUGUUUGUGACUGUGUUGUGUUUGUCUCCUGCAGCUGGUCCCACAGUGAAGCCCUCAGUGUCUCUGCUGCCGCCCUCUUCUCUGCAGAUCUCUGGAGACUCAGCCGCACUGCUCUGUCUGCUCAGCUCUUACUCUCCACAGGGGGCGCUGGUGAGCUGGACACUGGACGGCUCAGAGGUCACCGAGGGGGUUGUGACCAGCGCAGAGAGCGAGCAGGACGGCCGCUACAGCCGCAGUAGUGUCCUGACCCUCAGCAAAGCACGCUGGGAAGAGGGAGAGCUGUACGUCUGCAGAGUAACACAUGAUGGAGCUCCUCAUGAAGCCUCGUUCCACAAGAGUCGCUGUUAGUCGCUCGCAGUGCUGAUGUUUCUCCAGUGAGCGCUGCUCUCUCCUGAAGAUGAACGUAUCUGAGUGUCCUGUGUCAGGCAGGAUUCACAUGAGUCUAGUGCUGCAGCUGUAGUCAUUUACAACUCAAUACUGAAAGAGAGCUCUAGUGUCAAAGCACUGGCUGAUCUUUCAAUCUGCUGUGUUUGCUGCAACAUUCAAUAAAGCUUC